rnacentral:lncRNA from 1 species
UUUUAAUAGUUUCUAAAUAAAUGGUGUAAUUUUCUCUUUCUCUUUCUAAAACGUCCAACUAGUGAGAGAAAGUACAGAAAUGAGAUUUAUCAAGGGUUUUGAAGUGAGAGGAUGAAAGAGCACAAGGGUUUAUGGAAGGGUGCACCAAAAGCAUGAAAAUUGAAGCUAGAGAGAGAAAGUUAUGGAAGCUUGAAGAAACUCCCAUGGAGGAAUUGAAGAAACGUGUGAGAGG